UGGCCCAAUGACAUUGGCCUGAGCAGCAAACUGGCGACGCAGGCGCUCAUUGGCAUGCUGGCGGGCUAGUUCCUCCUGCAAGGAUUGAUCCCUCUGAGGCACCAGCUGCUUCACCUGUUACAAUGGGAAAGCACUAAGUGUGAACAAAAUAUUUUUAACUCUAAACACAG